AGCGAACGCUGGCGGCAGGCCUAACACAUGCAAGUCGAACGAACCUUUCGGGGUUAGUGGCGGACGGGUGAGUAACACGUGGUAACGUGCCUUUAGGUUCGGAAUACCUCAGGGAAACUUGUGCUAAUACCGCAUGUGCCCUUCGCGGGUAAGAUUAAUCGCCUUUAGAGCGGCCCGCGUCUGAUUAGCUAGUUGGUUGAGGUAAUGGCUCACCAAGGCGACGAUCAGUAGCUGGUGUGAGAGGAUGAUCAGCCACAUUGGGACUGAGACACGGCCCAAACUGCUACGGGAGGCAGCAGUGGGGAAUCUUGCGCAAUGGGCGAAAGCCUGACGCAGCCAUGCCGCGUGAAUGAUGAAGGUCUUAGGAUUGUAAAAUUCUUUCACCGGGGACGAUAAUGACGGUACCCGGAGAAGAAGCCCCGGCUAACUUCGUG
rnacentral:rRNA from 1 species